UAAAGACCCGUAUGAAUGGCUAAAUGAAUAUUUAACUGUCUCCUUCAACCAAUCAGUGAAACUGAUCUUUCAGUACAAAAGCUGAAAUGCAAUAAUAAGACGAGAAGACCCUGUGGAGCUUUAAAUUUACACCAAACUGUACACAAAGUAGUUUAUGAGAAAAAUUUUUAGUUGGGGCGACUUUGGAGUAAAAUACAACCUCCAAGAAAAGGCACCGCCUAAACAAGGCCUACAAGCCAAAACUAAACGACCCAGUAUUCCUGAUUAACGAACCAAGUUACCCCAGGGAUAACAGCGCCAUCUUCUUCAAGAGUUCAUAUCGACAAGAAGGUUUACGACCUCGAUGUUGGAUCAGGACACCCAAAUGGUGCAGCCGCUAUUAAAGGUUCGUUUGUUCAACGAUUAACAGU
rnacentral:rRNA from 1 species